UCGCUCCCCAUAGCCACCACAACUGGGAAUGUGCUGGGUCACACCUGAUGCCAACAUGGCUCUGAAUCUCAUCCAACGCCCAUGCACCUGCAGGGAUCCUCCCUUGUGGCCCUCUCCCUGCUUGAAGUCCCACCCGAAAAGCUUGGGGACAUAGCAGCAGCUGCCUCGGUACAGAGGACUAAUAAAUUUUGUUUGAUGCUCUCUCUCCAUACUACAAUGCCUGGACCGAGGUUAGUG
rnacentral:lncRNA from 1 species